rnacentral:lncRNA from 10 species
GUAUUCUCCACUGGUUGAAUGCAAAUGGAAGCCAGAGGAAAAGGGAACCCUUGACACAGUUUUCAUAUAGAUUGGCCUCCAGGGCAGACAGCAGGAGUGGGGUUUAAUCUGGACUGAAUUGGAGGAAAGGAACUGGCACCAGAGUGGAGGCUGGAAGGAUGGUGGAACUGACACUGGGACAGAACACAGAAAACAGAAUCUAAUGCUAGUACCCUAAUGACAAGUUCACCCCAGUGUUUUCUGAGGAGUCUACCUGGAAAUGAGAACCAUCUGUCCUUCCUAUAGUAGUUCUUCUCAGAAUGCCGACUCUAUGCUAAUGGAGGAGGUCUGAUGGCCGGGAGGACAGGAAGAAGGAACCCACAAUGAAGCAAAAGUUGCGUUUAACUCUGUCCUCACCAUUCCUCUCCUGGACCUGUCCUAAACUGGAAGCUGGGGGAGGAUGGAGUGCUGGAAUGCUGCAGAAGUCUCAUGGGAGGGCGCCUGGUGUUCACCACAUGUGUACACUGUUGCACGACCAGUGAACCUUCAGAAAGGGCAGAAAGGAAGUUUACUUCUGCCUCUACAAUGGAUUUGCCUACUUUAGACAUGUUUUCAAGAUUUAUCCACGUCAUGGCAUAUACCAGAACUUCAUUUCUUUUAUGAUUGAAUAAUAUUACAUGGUUUUAAUAUACUAUAUUUUGUUUAUCUGUUCAUCAAUUAAUAAAUCUUUGGGUUGUUUUCACUUUUAGGCUAUAAUAAUUAACGCUGUUAGGAAUAUUUACUUGUAAGUUUUUGUUAUAUGUUUUUAAUUCUCCUGGGUAGAUACUUAGGGAUAAAAUUGCUGAAUUAGAUUGUAACUUUAUGUUUAGAAACUGCCCAACUGUUUUCCAAAGUAACUAUCAUUUUAAUAUUUCACCAGCAUUGUAUGACAGUUCUGGUCUUUCCUUAUUUAAACUAAUACUUAAUUGUUGCCUUUUAUUGUAGCUAUCCUAGUAGAUAUGAAGUGUUAUCUCAUUAUGGUUUUGAUUUGCAUUCUCUAAUGACUAAUAAUAUCAAGCAUCUUUUCAUGUGUAUACAAGAUAUUUGUAUAUCUUCUUUAGAGAAAUGUCUACUCAAAUCCUGUGCCUAUGUUUUAAUUGGAUAAUUUAUGUUUUUAUUGUUGAGUUGUAAUAGUUUUUAAAUAUAUUCUGGAUCCUAGACCUUUAAC